rnacentral:lncRNA from 1 species
UAGAGGUCAAACAAUGAUAAGAUAAAGAGAUGGGACCAGAGAUUCUGUUUAGUGAAGUAUAUUAAUAAGGUAGGAAAGGAUGAUACAUGUUUGAACUCUUAAGAAUAAAAAACGUAUUCAAUAAUCUAAGAGUUGGUCAUCUUUGUCUCUCUGAUCUCCCCGUGACUGUCUUUUGCUUUUCUUUCGUUUACAGACGACUGGUUCUUUGCCCUUCCAGCUUCCCUUCAUAGCCAUCAUUACAGCUAGCACUUGUACAACAGCAAGACAGUUAGCAGCUAUGUUCUGUAAAACGAAGAUCACCUGGAUAAAUUAUAGAAUGCUCUGUUUAACCAAAAAUCAGUUUGCUUUAUAAGAAAAUCUUUUAAACAGAAAUUCUUGUAUCGGUUUAAUCAGAGUUAUACAGUCUCCCACUGACCAAUUUCUAAUCUCUCAAUUUAAUUCGCAAACAAUAUGCAAAAUUGGACUGACUUGCUAAGUUGAUAAUGAAAACUGUUUUAGCUCGAAUAGAGACUAUACACAUUCUAUUACCAUUAUGCAGCAAAGACAAGUAAUUUCUCCUGCCCUCUAUCUACAUCUCCAACCAAACUUCUUACACAAAUUUUUAGCUUAAUAACCCAUCUAGUAAUGUAGACAUUUGAUAUCCUACUGGAACCUAAGUUCUGAUAUAAGCCGUUUUAUCUGUCGGAACCCUGCUGCAAUGUCUUAAUUUUGGGUCCUUGAGACAAGUGUUCAACGUGGGAAUCGAAUCUGAGAUCAGAAGGUGGAAUGAAGCAAUCCAUAGACAAGCCAGGGACAUUGAACGCAAUUUCAUCAAUCACCCAUUCUUCUUGCAUCGUAGUCUUAGUGUUAUAUCCCGAUGACACAUCACCAAACCUCAAAAGCGUAGCCACGGAUCUACCAGAGUGAGCUAUCACGAUACCUUCCACAGGUUUGUAGUCUUCUAAGUAGGAAUUGAUAGUCGUCUCCCAGUAAACAGCUUCACCUCCUAUGUUUUGGAUUCGGGUUAGCUGGGAGUCUUCUAAGUGAACAAGAAGGCCCGUUUUUUGGCUGAAGUAACCGAACAGAGUAUGUCUUAUGGUCUCUGAUGCCCCUUCGCUUCUAGCUUUGAGUGUUGCCGGGUCUGCACAUAGCUUGAGAAUGAAACAGUCCUCUCACGGGGCUCUUGGAGCGUGAUCGGUGGGAAUGUGACUUGGAGAACAAGCCGUGCUUCUUAUCCAUAGGUUUGAAGGGUUUGGUGCUAAAGCUUGAGCAAAGGAAAGGACAAGUGUUAGCGUUAAACGGAAGGUUGCAUAUUAAUGUCCAUCUUAAUCAUAUUUAUGUCCACAUUAAUUAAGUUUUAUUAGCAAAUUUCUUUUGGAAUUUAUUUAAUUAGCAAUUUCCGAAUUUUGUUUUGUUCUUCGGCUAUUUAUUUCG